UUACGGCCACCCCACGCUGAAAGACCAGCUCUCGUACGAUCACCGGUUAAGCAAAGUCAAGCCUGAUCAGUACCUAGAUGGGUGACCGCUUGGGAAUAUCACUUGCUGUA